rnacentral:tRNA from 1 species
GGGGUUGUAGCUCAGUGGAAGUGCACAUGCCUAGCAUGUAUGAGGCACUGGGUUCCAUUCUCCGCACCACA